GAAGAUAGGUCAAAGCACAAAAAAAAAGUGAUAAUAAUAAAUGAAUAAAUAAAUUCUUUUUUCACCACAAAUAAGGAUGAAAUUUUAAAUUUUAAUUUGGAAUAGCUACAUCAUGCACAUACACAGUUUCAAUUUUUUAGAUAAUGUCAGAAAGGUGAGAAAAGCACUGUGAUCAAAGGAGACAUGAAUCUUCAAAAUAGUCAAUAUAGAAAAUCAGUAAGGCAGAAUGGAAGAACUAAUGAAAUUAAGAAAGGAUAAAAAGAAAACUUUCACAUAGAAUGUUGUGGAUGCAACUGUGGAAGCACUACAAGCAACUGGGACCCUCGGCAACCCUAGGACUCUCGACAAAGCUGGUUGAUCUUUCAGGAUUACUUCCUAUUAUUAUUAGAUAU
rnacentral:misc_RNA from 1 species